rnacentral:lncRNA from 1 species
GGAGCGGUAACAAAAUCGUACGCCCCGUAUCUGAUUAUAGACGGCUGGUACCAAACCAUAUCUAACGUAAACACAUACGGCUGAAAUUAGAUUACGUUACAAUAACACGAACCAAACAGCACCUUAUGGAUGAGAAACCGCGAAUUAUAUCGGUUGGUCUUCCGACUUCAUGCUUCAUGCCAGUCCGUGCUGACGUUGACUUCACAGCGAUCUCGCUCUUUUUUGGCCUCCAUUCAUCUCUUCUCUACCCAUGCGCUCCCUUUCUCUGUUGGCUCUUGAUCCCUUUCCACUGCUUUUUUAAAUUUCCCAACAACUACGGUAUAUACUUUUUAUUUUAUUAACUAACAAAUAUUUAAAGUUAUUUUAUAAACUAAUUUUGCUUAAAAUAUGACUCAUACAUGAUGUAUUUCGUUGCUUCCUACCAAAAGCUAGAAUUAUUCAGCCUACCAAACAUAAAACUCUUAAAUACCUUCUAAAACAAAACCCUAAUACUUGAUUUUCUUAUUGAAACUCCCUCUUCUUUCAAUUCCCUCUUCUUUCAAUCUAGCCGGCCAUUUCUCUCCGGUCCUUUUCUCCUUUCAGCCCAAGCCCUUUUCCUCUCUCCUCUUCUCUUCCAACAUCAUGGGCUAGCAACCUCCCUAGACCUAUCCAUCUCCUCCACACUCCGGCUGACCGACUCCUCUGGCACACAUCCUACUCCAAUCGGAUCCACUCCGCCAGCUCGGCCUAUCCGGCACAUCCCACGUCCGACC